UACGAGGGGGGCAAGCGUUGUUCGGAAUUAUUGGGCGUAAAGGGUGCGUAGGCGGUCUGACAAGUCUGAUGUGAAAUCUAUGGGCUCAACCCAUAGCCUGCAUCGGAAACUGUCGGGCUUGAGUAUGGGAGAGGUGAGUGGAAUUUACGGUGUAGCAGUGAAAUGCGUAGAUAUCGUAAGGAAGACCAGUGGCGAAGGCGAGUCUCUGGACAGCCGCUGACACUGAGGCACGAAGGCCAGGGGAGCAAACGGG
rnacentral:rRNA from 1 species